rfam:Schistosoma margrebowiei strain Zambia genome assembly, scaffold: SMRZ_scaffold0000164
AGCUUUCUGAAUCCAUGUCAAGAUUUCGUUCGACACCAGCCCACCAGGGGUGAUGAGACUUCUAAGAUAAGUGAAAUA